rnacentral:rRNA from 1 species
AGUGAACGCUGGCGGUAGGCCUAACACAUGCAAGUCGAACGGCAGCACAGUAAGAGCUUGCUCUUACGGGUGGCGAGUGGCGGACGGGUGAGGAAUACAUCGGAAUCUACUUUUUCGUGGGGGAUAACGUAGGGAAACUUACGCUAAUACCGCAUACGACCUACGGGUGAAAGCAGGGGAUCUUCGGACCUUGCGCGAUUGAAUGAGCCGAUGUCGGAUUAGCUAGUUGGCGUGGUAAAGGCCCACCAAGGCGACGAUCCGUAGCUGGUCUGAGAGGAUGAUCAGCCACACUGGAACUGAGACACGGUCCAGACUCCUACGGGAGGCAGCAGUGGGGAAUAUUGGACAAUGGGCGCAAGCCUGAUCCAGCCAUACCGCGUGGGUGAAGAAGGCCUUCGGGUUGUAAAGCCCUUUUGUUGGGAAAGAAAAGCAGCAGGUUAAUACCCCGCUGUUCCGACGGUACCCAAAGAAUAAGCACCGGCUAACUUCGUG